rnacentral:tRNA from 2 species
GGGCCGUUAGCUCAGCGGUUAGAGCAGGGGACUCAUAAUCCCUUGGUCGUAGGUUCAAAUCCUACACGGCCCACCA